rnacentral:rRNA from 1 species
UACGUAGGGGCAAGCGUUGUCCGGAAUUACUGGGCGUAAAGCGCACGCAGGCGGAAUUGUAAGUCCGUUGUAAAAUUCAGAGGCUCAACCUCUGUCUGUCGGCGGAUACUGCAAAUCUAGAGUAUGCGAGAGGGAAGUGGAAUUCCUGGUGUAGCGGUGAAAUGCGUAGAUAUCAGGAGGAACUCCGGUGGCGAAGGCGACUUCCUGGCACAAGACUGACGCUCAUGUGCGAAAGCUAGGGUAGCGAACGGGAUUAGAUACCCCU